GACGAACACUGGCGGCGUGCUUAACACAUGCAAGUCAAGGGGGCCCAGCAAUGGGCAACCGGCGAACGGGUGCGUAACACGUGAGCAACCUACCGAAGUGUGGGGGAUAGCCGGCCUAACGGCCGAGUAAUACCGCAUACGAUUGCGAAGAGGCAUUUCUUGCAAUGAAACCUACGGGGUACUUCGAGGGGCUCGCGGCCUAUCAGCUAGUUGGUGAGGUAACGGCUCACCAAGGCAACGACGGGUAGCUGGUCUGAGAGGAUGGCCAGCCACAUUGGGACUGGAGAAACGGCCCAGACUCCUACGGGAGGCAGGCAGUGGGGAAUCUUGACGCAAUGGCCUAACGGCUGACGCAGCGACGCCGCGUGAGGGAUGAAGCUCCUCGGAGUGU
rnacentral:rRNA from 1 species